GCACUGCUGACGAGUCCCAGACAGGACGAAACAACAACAACUGUCCAGUGC
rnacentral:hammerhead_ribozyme from 1 species